rnacentral:rRNA from 1 species
UACGUAGGGUGCGAGCGUUUGUCCGGAAUUAUUGGGCGUAAAGAGCUUGUAGGCGGUUUGUCGCGUCUGCCGUGAAAAUCCGGGGCUCAACCCCGGACUUGCGGUGGGUACGGGGCAGACUAGAGUGUGGUAGGGGGAGACUGGAAUUCCUGGUGUAGCGGUGAAAUGCGCAGAUAUCAGGAGGAACACCGAUGGCGAAGGCAGGUCUCUGGGCCACUACUGACGCUGAGAAGCGAAAGCGUGGGGAGCGAACAGG